rnacentral:lncRNA from 1 species
ACCCAACCCCUCCAUUGUCUUCUGAGACUAAGCUGCUUUCUAAGAAGGCCCUAUUUCUUUCACAGAGGAAGGAGAACUGUUGCAGGCGUGGGGGAAGCCUAAGCUCAGGAGGCUCAGGCUUAGCACUGGACGUUUUGGGCUAUGCAGCCCUGUGUGGUUUUGCCCAUGAAAAAUGUCAACACAUAUCGCCAAAUAUACCCCGAGGAACAAAAUUACUUCAUUGCAGAUCUGUUUGAGACAGAGGGUUUCAUGUGCAAUUCAGGAGCACAGGUGCCUUCUGCAGAAGGCUGGCUUAACAAGACCCACCUGCUAUGACAGGGCACCAAGGCUAGAGUCUGGGAGACUGGGUAAAAGGUAACAGAAAUAGUAAGGGCCUGGGUCUAAGAUGGAAUGGUUGCUGGAGAGGGGAGGAGACAAUUAGACAAUGUAGCCAGUUGGUCUUGGGUGUGUGUGAGGAAGAGGAAGUUGGGAAGAGCCCAGGCUGUCUGGUUGUUUGAGCAUCACGUUUUGGUAGGUGCCCAGGAUGAAGAGGAUAAGAGUGGUGAAUUUGGGUAGCUAGUUGGGACAAUGAAGGAAAUGACUGCAGUGUUGGAUCCGGGAGCCUAGGAUCCAGAGGCAGGUCUGGAGAUAAGGUUUAUGAGUCAUGCUAUGCAGGUAGCAGUUGAAGCUGUGGGUGGGAUAGCCCAGGGGACUGUGUGUAAGGAGACAGGCUGGAGAGGGUAGGUGAAGACCUGAGAAACCACAGCUGCUUUCCGUUCCGAUUCAAAUCCUACUCAAGUCCUUUGUCCCAUGAUCCUCAUCCAAACCCACAGCCCACAUCGAUUGCGUCAUCCUUCACUCCUCCCAGGAAUCUGAGUUUCUUGUCAUGUUCCACCUAACGUGGGACCGCACUGAGUUGUCUUGGGGCCAACAAAGAGUACUGUCUUUUGGUGAACAACAUCAACGUAUCAGCAAGCAGCUGCCUAUAGCGGCAGAAAAGAAGAUCUAUAGGAGGAGCAGGGACCACCCACUGGCGGAACUGGCAAGGAACAUGGACCGGGUGAUUUGACGUCUGGAAAGAGGAGCUCAAACCAAGAAGAGGCUUUGCACACAGGUGGAAAGAUGUGUCCAAGCCUGUAUCAGCGAGCAUCUAGGGCGGUGCUGGAAUGCAAUGCUGGCUGAUCCUUCGAGCACAGAGUCAGAUAUAGCUGUUGUCCAUCUAAUGAGCUUUUCUGGGUCCAUAUGCGAGGAAGGGAUGAAACCUGGAGCUCUUACUCCAAGAAGGGUCUACCUCAGCAACCAGCAGCUUUCCAACAUGGGGGAGGACUUCUUUUGUCUUGAAGGCCCUGUUCUAUCAGCACGCAGUCCAGCUGAUCCUGUUUAGAAUUACCCUCCUCAGCUCAAGGAAUUUACCGGAAACAUAAUUCCAUCUAAAAGUUGGAAGUCCUGGAAGCAAUGGGGAGACUGCGGUCAGCGACACGGACCGUUUGAUAGGGUAGGACAGUGACUCUCAAGCCUGUGUCUGUAACUAGAACCAUCGGAGGGUCUGGCUAAGCCCAGAGAGCUAGACUCUACUCCCUAAUUCCAACUCUGAGGGUCUGGGAUGAGGCAUGAGAACUUUCAUCUCUCAUAAGUCCCUAGGUGAUGCUUAUACUGAUGCUGACCUGGAGGAACCCUUAGGGGUUUAGGAGCUGGCUACAGAUAGGUGGAAGAGACCAGGGGAAGAACCUGGGUUGGGACUGGCUGCUCAUCCAAGAAGUGCAGUUUGUGAGUUACUGAAGGUGGGCAAGACAUGUAUGGAGCCUUUAAGCCUGGUGGGUCCAUUGAGGGCACUGAGGGCAGGUAGCAGCUGAUCAUAGACCCAACAUUAUUCAUUGGUUGGCAGCACUGGUAUUUAAACCCAGAGCCCUCCAGUAUUCGUUUGACUCCCCUAGCAACCCUGUGGUCGUGUGGAGUAGCUCCUAACAGUCAAAGCUCCCAGAUGAGGAAAAUAACCAGUGUGAGAAUUUUCCAGUGGACCCACAGAGGAUGGGGCAGCUGCAGCCAGGUGGUGGAGAACGGAGCGGAGCGCAGGUUGCCUCGGGGAUGGGAAGGAUACAAAGAAAGCAAGGUAGAAAAGGACGUCAUAGAUGACACCCCGGGACCAAACGCUCCUCUGUCUUCCCUCCACAGUGGACAAGGCUGGGUGUGGCUCUCCCCACCAGCUCCUUCUGUCAGGGGUAAAACAGAAACCUAGCCAGAUUCACAAUUGCCUGAAGAGCUGUGAUCCAAGUUAAAUAUGAGUGUGAAGAUGACUGUAAUGAGCAGAGGAGAAAUGCUUUUUAGACAUGUAAAAGUAGCUUAGUUGGGAUCCCCACUAAAAAAGCUGCAUCUAAUAACCAGAUCCCAAUGACAUCACUCACUUCAGAUGACUGGACACAGUCCUAGAACCCCACGAUGCCCACUAGACAGUAUAUAAGCAGAGACCAUGAGCAAUGCUAUGCUCUUGGUCUUCUGGAUCGACAUCACCUUGAUCUGCCUUGUGACUGGGGAGUCUACCCCAGGAUGCUGACCCUUCAAUCAGAGAUUUGUGUUAGAGACUGGACCUGACCUUCAGCUAAGAUAUGGCACACAGAUGAGCAGCCUUGGAGAGACAGGGUUAGGAAUUUAAAGUGUGAACCUUGUGUGAUAACCCUCAGCAUAAUAAAAUAGAACUUUUGUUGUACUAACUACAUGUCUCUACCUUCUUGCUUGAGACAAAGACCAAUCCUU